rnacentral:rRNA from 1 species
GGCCUUGCGCUCUUUGAGCGGCCGAUGUCAGAUUAGCUAGUUGGUGAGGUAAAGGCUUACCAAGGCGACGAUCUGUAGCGGGUCUGAGAGGAUGAUCCGCCACACUGGAACUGAGACACGGUCCAGACUCCUACGGGAGGCAGCAGUGGGGAAUUUUGGACAAUGGGGGCAACCCUGAUCCAGCCAUGCCGCGUGAGUGAAGAAGGCCUUCGGGUUGUAAAGCUCUUUCGGCCGGGAAGAAAUCGCAUGGGCCAAUACCCUGUGUGGAUGACGGUACCGGAAUAAGAAGCACCGGCUAACUACGUGCCAGCAGCCGCGGUAAUACGUAGGGUGCGAGCGUUAAUCGGAAUUACUGGGCGUAAAGCGUGCGCAGGCGGUUUUGUAAGACAGGCGUGAAAUCCCCGGGCUUAACCUGGGAACUGCGUUUGUGACUGCAAGGCUAGAGUACGGCAGAGGGGGGUGGAAUUCCACGUGUAGCAGUGAAAUGCGUAGAGAUGUGGAGGAACACCAAUGGCGAAGGCAGCCCCCUGGGUCGAUACUGACGCUCAUGCACGAAAGCGUGGGUAGCAAACAGGAUUAGAUACCCUGGUAGUCCACGCCCUAAACUAUGUCAACUAGGUGUUGGGUGGGUAAAACCAUUUAGUACCGUAGCUAACGCGUGAAGUUGACCGCCUGGGGAGUACGGCCGCAAGGUUAAAACUCAAAGGAAUUGACGGGGACCCGCACAAGCGGUGGAUGAUGUGGAUUAAUUCGAUGCAACGCGAAAAACCUUACCUACCCUUGACAUGCCAGGAACUUGCCAGAGAUGGCUUGGUGCCCGAAAGGGAGCCUGGACACAGGUGCUGCAUGGCUGUCGUCAGCUCGUGUCGUGAGAUGUUGGGUUAAGUCCCGCAACGAGCGCAACCCUUGUCGUUAAUUGCCAUCAUUUAGUUGGGCACUUUAACGAGACUGCCGGUGACAAACCGGAGGAAGGUGGGGAUGACGUCAAGUCCUCAUGGCCCUUAUGGGUAGGGCUUCACACGUCAUACAAUGGUCGGUACAAAGGGUUGCCAAGCCGCGAGGCGGAGCCAAUCCCAGAAAGCCGAUCGUAGUCCGGAUUGCAGGCUGCAACUCGCCUGCAUGAAGUCGGAAUCGCUAGUAAUCGUGGAUCAGCAUGUCACGGUGAAUACGUUCCCGGGUCUUGUACACACCGCCCGUCACACCAUGGGAGCGGGUUCCGCCAGAAGUAGGUAGCCUAACCGCAAGGGGGGCGCUUACCACGGCGGGGGUCGUGACUGGGGUGAAGUCGU